CGAGCUCUCACCGAGCUUGCGGCGUCGGAGCCAGGGCAGUGCGGUUGCACCCGAGCGAAACCGUGGAACCUAGAUUCUUCGCCCCCGGGUGGGUCACCGAAAGUGCCUGGGGGAAAAAGGAACGAAGUAGCUGGGUCCCUGGGCGCAGACACCGACAGUUUGCUGUGCAAGAAGUCUGCUUUCCUGGGAUCUGAUCGAGCUGCGGCGCCUGGUCGUGGCAGCCUCUGUCCUGCCUUAGCCUCGCCGGGAACCCGGAAAACCUAGCUCUCUGGAACCGAGGCUGCAUCCCAGCCUGCUGUCAGCUCACCUAAGUGCGAACUUUGUUUCCGACUGCCUGGAAGGAAUCCCAAGCAGCUGUUAGCCAAGCUGCAAAAGCUCCUUGCCCCUCUACACCUUCCGCUGGACUCAUGGCCCUGCCAGGCGUGUCCCUGACUUCAUCUCUGUCGCACAUCCUCACAGUUUUGUUUCUCGUUUUUAUACCAGGGCUGGAUGGGAUACUUCGGGAAGGGUCAUCCUGAUUCCUGUCAUAUUCCCUCAAAGCCUCACUCUUUAAAAACCAGUAAGUUAGGAAGGUUUGGCCGCACCUGUGCCAAAUAGGUGCCUGAAUAAAGUUUGAAAUAAAACGCUGUUAGUUUAACAA